rnacentral:misc_RNA from 1 species
CAUUUCUAUUCUGCGGCUCAGACAAACCUGCUGUUAAGUUUACCCAGCUGACAAAUGAAGGAGGACAUGAAGCUAUACCUAUACUAGAGAAAGGGAUUAGCAUCUUUGGUGAAGUGAUAGCUCGGAGGUACAUAAUCUGCUCUUGAAUCUUGAUGCUUUUCUCCAUUUUCUUGAACGAUUUUUUUAUCUUUAUUUCUUUACUGUUUUCAAAAUGAUUCCACCUGAGCAGCAGGAAAUAGACUCUUGUUUGGUUACGAUCAAACAGAAUUAAGUUUUUCUUUUUUGUUUUUCAUUAAAUUUUAAGCAAAGGGAAAAGGAAAAAAAGAUGCCUCAAGUCACCUGAUGUAACUUGGCAUUAGACAGCACAGAAAACCGAUCCAAGCUCAUUGUCAUAGAGACAUCAAACUGUCCAAAUUUCUGAGAAGAUAGUGGUCCUUAUCUGGCCAUUUAUUUGGUGAUCUAGUCUCUAAUAGUAGCAUUAGGUGCAGGCAGGAGGAUGAUUCCAUCCAUUGGAUGAAAGAAAAGGCUGAGUUGACAAAUAAGGGAUGGGACGGAGAUGGGGUUUUAGGAUUGAAAAUUGGGGGGUUGUCGAUGGGACCAUUAAUGCAACCAAAUUAUCACAUGUUGUUUGAUAGCUUGUUUGAUUCUUUGCAUACGGCUUGUGGAUAUUACGGAUCAUUACUUUUCCAUAAACUCUCUUCCAUCAUCACCGACAAAAGGAAUCCUUAUUAUGUUUCUCCUUAGGUUAGCUUUGAUCUUUGUAUCAUACUUUACACUCUGUUUGGAUAUGGAAAAGGGGAGGAAAGAAAAUAAAAAAGAAAAAAUAAAUUAGGAUUAGUAUUUUUUUUUAUUUGGAAAUAAAA